rnacentral:lncRNA from 1 species
CUUGUGAAUGUUUCCAUCACUACAAUUCCAAAACUGUACACAUCCUCUCUUGUUGAAACCAUUCCUUCCAAUCCAUACUCUGCAUUACAAAAAAUCGGCCUAGGCUGCCUGGGCAGGUCUGGGCGGCGCCAGGCGGGUCUGGGUGCCGGGGUGGGUUUGGUUCUUUUCUUUUGUUCUAAAGCCUACUGCCUAGUAAUUUUUCAAACUCAUGCACUGCAAGGCAGGUCUAGGCGGCGCUGGGAGGGUCUGGGCGGCGCUGAGAGGGUCUGGUCGACGCUAGGCGAGUCUGGGCGGCGCUAGGCGGGUCUGAGCGGGUCUAGGUGCCAGGGUGGUUCUGGUUCUUUUCUUUUGUUCUUUAAGCCUACUGCCUAACGAUUUUUCAAACUCAUGCACUGCAAGGCAGGUCUAGGCGGCGCUGGGAAGGUCUGGGUGGGUCUGGGUGGGUCUGGGAGGCGCUAGGCGGGUCUGGGCGGUGCUAGGCCGUUCUGGGUGGUGUUAGGCGGGGUCUAGGCGGGUCUAGGCGGCACUAGGCGGGUCUGGGUGCCAAGGUGGGUCUAGUUUUUUUCUUUUGUUCUUUAAGCCUACAGCCUAGCGAUUUUUCAAACUCAUGCACUGCAGAGCAGGUCUAGGCGGUGAUGGGAGAGUCUGGGAGGCGCUAGGAGGGUCUAGGCGGCGCUAGGCAGGUCUGGGUGCCAGAGUGGGUCUGGUUCUUUAGGGUUUAGGGUCUGGGUGCCAGGGUCUGGUUAUUUUCUUUUGUUCUUUUAGCCUAUACUGCCUAGCGAUUUUUCAAACUUCAUCUAUCUUUGCUAAUUGUUCGCACAAGUCUCAUUUUUGCAUCUAUCUUUGCAUCUAUCUCAAACUCCAUUAGUAAUCUGUCACAUUUUUUUCCAAGUACGUGUGCCAUUUUCUUCUUUGAAGCCAAUAUUUCGAGCAAUAACUGUAUCAGAUGCACCACCUUUUGACCCCAGCAAUAUUGUGUCAUUGCAGGCACAUUUCUGCAGCCACUUUCUUUUAGUCUAUUCCUUAACUUCAUUUUCUUCUAUGUUAAUUGAUGGGAUUCAAAAUUAUGGCAGAUCAUGUUUAGAAAGUUCGAAUUUGAUGGGAAACUAAAUCCUACUUUUGUGGAAGGGGCAUUUAAGCUCCCAUUAUCAAGCAUACGAGCGUAUCUAAAAGAGCCUAUUACUCCCAGGUUUCACAUUCUUUUCAUUUUGUUGGAUUAUCUUAUGACUAAACAUAAUUGAUCUGCUAGGUGCACUUUCUGUUUUAGUCUUUAAAGAAUCUCUUUGCUUGUGUUCCGUGUAGGUUCGUACACCUAGGUUCUGCAGGAGUUACCCGACCUGACAGGCCUGGACUUGAUCCAAGUAAACAACCUCCUGCUAUUCGCUUAAACAAGGAAUUGGAUUUUAUACUGACAUGCAAGUUGAAGGUUUCAUACUAAUUCAGUGCACGCUGUUUGAUAUUUUUAUAUAUAAUCAGUGUAUCAAAAUACCACUUCUUAGCUCUUUUCUGUUCUUUUUCUUUUUCUGGGUCAGAUUUAGCUCUUUCGAUUUUGUACAUUGAUAAGUUUCGGAGAAGGGGGAGGACUUAAUACGGGAAAUGGAAUACCAUAUACAAUUGUGAGGCCUUGUGCAUUAACUGAGGAGCCUGCCGGAGCAGAUCUCAUUUUCUACCAGGGAGACAAUGUAAUGGUAUAUAAUCUCUCUUUGUUGUAUGCCUGUGAUGACAUGUAUUGCUCUUUCUUUCCCUUAUAAUAAUAAUAAUAUCUGAAUGUUAUGAUUUAUAGUAUUUAUAUAUAUGCAGGGUAAGAUAUCAAGAGAGGAGGUUGCUCAGAUUUGUGUUGCUGUUGUAGUGCUUAAUGGAACUGCUUGAACUAUUGAAUAUCUUGCAGGUCAGGGAAAACUGUUAACCUCCCAAUUUGAUCUUAAAAGCAUACAAAAAAACUCCAAAACGCGUGCAAGUUGGUAAUUGAAAGGUUUCCUAUUUUAAUGUUCUUUCCAAGUCUGGUCAUGUUCCAUUUCCAUGUUGUGUUAUUUAAUAAAUUUGGGCCUUGCUGGAAAACCAGUAAUGUUUCAAC